CUAGAACACCAGCCCUUGACCUUAGACAUGAGCAAAGGUUGCGUCAACAACAUGAGAGAAGAAAUUGCCAGAACUCUUCUCCGUGAAUCUGAGUCCCUCAAGAAUAUCUGCCAUCAUUGUGGGUCUGAGGGAAUGGAUGCCAUGCUAUGGAUUUGCUGUGACAACUGCAGCAGGUGGUACCACCACACGUGCUUAAAUAAUCCUUCGCUGGAUGACGAGUAUCUCUGCCCUCUCUGCGUGUAGGAUAAGGGGGAGAGAAGAGCAAGUGUUUGCUACAGUUGGGACUUACCGCAUGGUGGCCUAGAGGUUAGCAUGUUGGCCACAAAGUCAGGAGAUUUGAAUUUGAAUCUGUGUGGAAAAUGAUGGAUGGCGUUCUGAUUGUUCUUACUUUGUCUGUGUUUACUUUUCACUGUGUUUUACUUUUGUUCAAUCAGAGUUACAUUUUUAUUAUUCAUAUAUAUUUAUUU